UUUUAGUCUACUACAUUUUUGUUGGGAUAAAAGAUAUUCUACUAAAAGCAUGAGAAUUAAAAUGUUACAUGGCCCAAUGGCUACGUAGUCCAAUACACUUCGAAGGAGAGCCAAUUUUGAAUCAGAAAAAGCCCAAUGGUGGCUAGAAAGAAGAGAUGGCCCAAGAAGGAGAGUAAUCAUGUACGGAUUCCUCGAGGCUGAGAUGAUGAAUCGAUUGAACAGAGAAGAAGAUUCGAUAAUGGAGGUUGAAGGAGGACAAACAGAGAACCAUGUCUGAAGCAUUUCAGAAGCUCGAUGGGGAUUUGAUUGGCGAAGUCUUGCUGUUCGAUUUCAGACAGUUAGUUCAGCCUCCCGAAUCAAAGCAUCGACAUAUUUGAAUCAAUAUGGAAGCGAUUAUUACAGAGAAGAUCAUCCUAUAUGCGGGAGGAGAGGUCGUUGCAACGACGGGAUAUAUUUUCUCAGACUACCCGUCGUUGUUUCAUUCAAUUUGACUUUAAUCGUUCUCAAAAUCUCUGGCCAGUUGAUUUAAUAACUCUAAUAUAAUUAGCACAUGCAAGAAAUGAUUCUCAAGAUUUUUACACGGAUUUGCUUAUCUUCAUUGUGAAACAUCAGUAAGAUAAGCAAAAUGAGAAGAGACAACAAAAAAGGAUCUUAAACUUGGACGCACAUGAAGCUUUGUAAAGUCUCAAAUCUAUGAGAUUGGAGAAUGAAGCAGCCAUUGAUUUCUGAAAAGUCUUCUUUUAUUGUGUUAAAAGGUAGCAGCAAAUAUGGAAGCAUUUGGUGAAAGAUUUCGGGUAAAAUGCUCAAUUAAGGUAAGAUCCGAGAUUGAUUUUUCCGGGUCAAAAACAUUAAAUUUCCGGGUCAAAAUUAAACAAAUUUUGACCCGAUUUGGGUA